rnacentral:sRNA from 1 species
GCUGGAGCUAUCGGCUGGAGCUAUCGG